rnacentral:rRNA from 1 species
GACGAACGCUGGCGGCGUGCCUAAUACAUGCAAGUAGAACGCACAGUUUAUACUGUAUCUUGCCACACCAUAGACUGUGAGUUGCGAAUGGGUGAGUAACGCGUAGGUAACCUGUCUGGUAGCGGGGAAUGACUAUUGGAAACGAUAGCUAAUACCGCAUAAUAUUAAUUAUUGCAUGAUAAUUAAUUGAAAGGUGAAAUUGCACCACUAUCAGAUGGACCUGCGCUGUAGUAGCAAGUAGGUGAGGUAAAGGCUCACCGAGGCGACGAUACAUAGCCGACCAGAGAGGGUGAGAGGCAUCGCUGAGACGAGAGCACGGCCCACAAUACUGGGAGAGGCAGAAGGAGGGAAUUUUUGGCAAUGGAAGCAAGUCUGAACGGGGAACACCGGGUGAGUGAAGGAGGUUGUCGGGUCGUAAAGCUCUGUUGGAAGAGAGGAACGGGAGGGAGAGUGGAAAGGUCACACUGUGACGGUAUCUUACCAGAAAGGAACGGCUAACUACGUG